UACGAGGGGGGCAAAUGUUGUUCGGAAUCACUGGGCGUAAAGGGAGCGUAGGCGGGUUUCUAAGUCAGGUGUUUAAUCCCGGGGCCCAACCCCGGACAGGCACUUGAAACUGGGAAGCUUGAAUAGUGGAGAGGUCAGUGGAAUUGGGGGUGUAGCGGUGGAAUGCGUAGAGAUCCCCAAGAACACCAGUGGCGAAGGCGGCUGACUGGACACAUAUUGACGCUGAGGCUCGAAAGCAUGGGGAGCAAACAGG
rnacentral:rRNA from 1 species